rnacentral:rRNA from 1 species
UGCCAGCAGCCGCGGUAAUACGGAGGGUGCGAGCGUUAAUCGGAAUUACUGGGCGUAAAGCGCGCGUAGGCGGCUUGGUCAGUCGGAUGUGAAAGCCCCGGGCUUAACCUGGGAAUUGCAUUCGAUACUGCCAGACUAGAGUAUGGGAGAGGGAAGUGGAAUUUCCGGUGUAGCGGUGAAAUGCGUAGAGAUCCGGAGGAACACCAGUGGCGAAGGCGGCUUCCCGGACCAAUACUGACGCUGAGGCGCGAAAGCGUGGGGAGCAAACAGGAUUAGAUA